rnacentral:rRNA from 1 species
GUGAGGAAUAUUGCGCAAUGGAGGCAACUCUGACGCAGCCAUGCCGCGUGCAGGAAGAAGGCGCUACGCGUUGUAAACUGCUUUUAACCGGGAAGAAACCCCAGGACGUGUCCUGGGUUGACGGUACCGGAGGAAUAAGCACCGGCUAACUUCGUGCCAGCAGCCGCGGUAAUACGAAGGGUGCAAGCGUUAUCCGGAUUCAUUGGGUUUAAAGGGUGCGUAGGCGGAGCGUUAAGUCAGUGGUGAAAUCCUGCAGCUUAACUGUAGGCUUGCCAUUGAUACUGGCGCUCUUGAGUGCGCUUGAAGUGGGCGGAAUGUGCCGUGUAGCGGUGAAAUGCUUAGAUAUGGCACAGAACACCAAUUGCGAAGGCAGCUCACUAAGGCGAUACUGACGCUGAGGCACGAAAGCGUGGGGAUCGAACAGGAUUAGAAACCCGAGUAGUCC